GCCCGUUAAUGGGUGAUAGCGUGCCUUUUGUAGAAUGAACCGGCGAGUUACGAUUACGUGCGAGGUUAAGCUUUAGAAGGCGGAGCCGCAGCGAAAGCGAGUCUGAAUAGGGCGAAUUAGUACGUGGUCGUAGACCCGAAACCAGGUGAUCUACCCAUGUCCAGGGUGAAGGUGAGGUAACACUUACGGGAGGCCCGAACCCACGCACGUUGAAAAGUGCGGGGAUGAGGUGUGGGUAGCGGAGAAAUUCCAAUCGAACUUGGAGAUAGCUGGUUCUCUCCGAAAUAGCUUUAGGGCUAGCCUCGUGAUGAGAAUACUGGAGGUAGAGCACUGUUUGGACUAGGGGGCCAUCCCGGUUUACCGAAUUCAGACAAACUCCG
rnacentral:rRNA from 1 species